GCGUCACGGCACCCUCGGGUGCCACCACCGACACCACCAUCACCGACCUCGGCGACGGCACCUACCGCGUGCGCUACACCCCCAGCGAGGAAGGGCUGCACGUGGUGGAGGUGACGUUCCAGGAGGUGGCGGUGCCGCAGAGCCCGUUCCGUGUGGCCGUGGCCGAGGGUUGCGAUCCCACGCGCGUCAGCGCCCACGGGCCCGGCCUGGAGAGCGGCCUGGUGGGAAGAGCCAACUGCUUCACCGUGCAGACGCGGUAAGGACCCAACACCAGCACCACCAUCAUCAUCACCAACACCUGCACCAUCAUCAUCAUCACCAACACCAGCACCACCACCAUCAACACCAGCACCACCAUCAUCAUCACCAACAACACCACCAUCAUCAUCAUCACCAACACCNGCACCAUCAUCAACAUCACCAACACCAGCACCAUCAACAUCACCAACACCAGCACCAUCAUCAUCACCAACACCAGCACCAUCAUCAUCACCAACACCAGCACCAUCAACACCAGCACCAUCAUCAUCAUCACCAGCGCCACCACCCUCAUCACCAGCAUCAUCAUCAUCAUCCCCAAUACCAGCACCAUCAUCAUCAUCAACACCAGCACCAUCGUCACCAUCAUCAUCAUCAUCAUCACCAACACCAGCAUCACCAUCAUCAUCACCAACACCACCACCAUCAUCAACAUUGCCAGUAGCACCAUCAUCACCAUCACCAUCAUCAUCAUUGCCAACACCAUCAUCACCACCACCACCACCACCACCACCACCACCAACACCAUCACCAUCAUCACCACCACCACCAACACCAUCAUCAUCAUCACCACCAUCAUCAUCACCAUCAACACCAGCACCACCAUCACCAUCAUCAUCACCAUCGCCAACACAGUCAUCAACACCAGCACCACCACCAUCACCAACACCAGCACCACCAUCAUCAUCAUCACCAACACCAGCACCAUCAUCACCAUCAUCACCAUCAUCAUCACCAACACCAUCAUCAUCAUCAUCACCACCAACACCAGCACCAUCAUCACCAUCAUCACCGUCAUCAUCAUCAUCAUCACCAACACCAGCACCACCAUUGUCAUCACCAACACCACCACCAUCAACACCACCACUAUCAGCACCACCACCAUCAUCAACAUCACCAGCACCAGCACCAUCAUCACCAGCAUCAUCAUCAUCAUCCCCAAUACCAGCACCAUCAUCGUCACCAACACCACCACCAUCAUCAACAUCACCAGUACCACCAUCAUCACCAUCACCAUCAUCACCAACACCAGCACCAUCAACACCACCACCAACACCAGCACCAUCACCAUCAUCGCCACCAUCACCACCAUCACCAUCAUCACUAUCAUCACCAUCACCAUCAUCGCCAUGUCCACCCCCAUCCCCGUGCCAUCCAUGAGCCACCAUUGUCCCCUUGUCACGCAAGUGUCACCUCCAUCCCCGUGCCACCCACGUGCCACCAUUGUCCCCUUGUCCCAGAGGUGCCACCCCCAUGUGCCACCGUUGUCCCCUUGUCACAAAAGUGCCCCCUCCAUCCCCGUGCCACCCACGUGCCACCAUUGUCCCCAUGUCCCCAACUCACCCCCCCAUCCCCUCAUCCCAGAGGUGCCACCCCCAUCCCCGUGCCACCCACGUGCCACCAUUGUCCCCUUGUCCCAGAGGUGCCACCCCCAUGUGCCACCGUUGUCCCCUUGUCACAAAAGUGCCACCCCCAUCUCCGAGCCACCCACGUGCCACCAUUGUCCCCAUGUCCGCAACUCACCCCCCCAUCCCCUCAUCGCAGAGGUGCCACCCCCAUCCCCGUGCCACCCACGUGCCACCAUUGUCCCCUUGUCCCAGAGGUGCCACCCCCAUGUGCCACCAUUGUCCCCUUGUCACCAAAGUGCCACCCCCAUCCCCGUGCCACUCAUGUGCCACCAUUGUCCCCUUGUCCCAGGCUCACCCCCCAUCCCCUUAUCACACAAGUGCCCCCCCCAUCCCCGAGCCACCCACGUGCC
ensembl:lncRNA